UAGAGGAAUUUUAGUAGUCCAAGAGCCAAAGAGAAUGUAAACUGGGAGUUGCCUGCAGAACAGAUCCUUGAGGUAAUUGCUGGGUGAGGAAAGAGGAUGGGACUUUUCUUUCCUCCUCCACCCAGCCAUGUAACUUCAAAGGGGAGCUACUAACAGGAGAAACUUCAUCCAGCUGGAAGCAGAGGCACACCUCAGAUAUGCAUAGUUACAAAGAGUUUGACAAAAGAAGAAACUGAAGCCCAGAGAAAUUACAACUUGGUCAAAGUUACAAAUGGAGUUGAACAAGAGCAGGAAUGAGAGUUACAUCAUCUGCCCAAAUAAAUUCUGUAACUAGACUUAGUGCUCUUAUGUGCUCAAUGAAAAUGAGGGGAUCUAGGCUAUGGAGGGCAGGAGAGGUCAGACAGAGGAAGGCAAGAAAGUUUGUCUAUAUCCACUAAGAUUCCCAGGUGACCCCCUAGCCCUUUCAAUUCUUCAUUUCUAUGGCAAAUCUCACUUCACAAAACGCAUGCUUCCAUUUGAUUCCUGCUGUAAAUUCACCAAAAAUUCUAACCUCCAGAAAAACAGGACUCAUAGCCUUUCUUCUACACAACAGCCCAUCAUUUGAAGAAACUUGGAGACAGCUACCAAGUCCUUCCCCCUUCCUGCUCUUAUUCCUUCCAAGCUAAAUAUCUCUUGUUCCUUCAACCAACUCUCAUAUGGAAGAAUCUCAAUGCUCUUUACCAUCUUGGUC